rnacentral:sRNA from 1 species
AGGAGACCGCCGCUACGAGAACGGAUUACAAGUCUGGUUCUCGACAAG